CUGCUGCCUCCCGUAGGAGUUUGGCCGUGUCUCAGUCCCAAUGUGGCCGGGUCACCCUCUCAGGUCGGCUACUGAUCGUCGCCUUGGUGGGCCGUUACCCCGCCAACCAGCUAAUCAGACGCGGGUCCAUCUCAUACCACCGGAGUUUUUCACACCGGAACAUGUGUCCCUGUGCGCUUAUGCGGUAUUAGCAGUCAUUUCUAACUGUUAUCCCCCUGUAUGAGGCAGGUUACCCACGCGUUACUCACCCGUCCGCCA
rnacentral:rRNA from 1 species